CAAUAUAAACAGACGGCAAACAGAAAUAGCGUUCAUACGCAGCUCCGGGAGCGAUCAGCGAGCGUAGUGUUUUCGAAACGGACCUUUCUCUACAUAAAUACCUAAUCGAAUCAUGUCCGACUGCGACCGCAUCGUCUUCCCGGACGAAGUUGAACAAAUCAAGGCUCAAAUAGCCGCGGAGAACAAAGAAUCAGCAAGGCAGCAAUCAAUAGAUGACCCAGAAAUAGUGCUAGAACAUUUCGUUAAAGUGCCGCCAAAUCUUAUGACCUCACCAUCAGACGACAAAAUGGAUGCUAUCGUUUUCAAAUAAAUUAAAUUAUACC
rnacentral:lncRNA from 1 species